rnacentral:misc_RNA from 1 species
GAUGAAGAACGCAGCGAAAUGCGAUAAGUAGUGUGAAUUGCAGAAUUCAGUGAAUCAUCGAAUCUUUGAACGCACAUUGCGCCCCUUGGUAUUCCAUGGGGCAUGCCUGUUCGAGCGUCAUUUGUACCUUCAAGCUCUGCUUGGUGUUGGGUGUUUGUCUCGCCUCUGCGUGUAGACUCGCCUCAAAACAAUUGGCAGCCGGCGUAUUGAUUUCGGAGCGCAGUACAUCUCGCGCUUUGCACUCAUAACGACGACGUCCAAAAGUACAUUUUUACACUCUUCACCUCGGAUCAGGUAGGGAUACCCGCUGAACUUAAGCAUAUCAAUAAGCGGAGGA